AUGUUGGGGACCCUCUGCACUCUCAUCACUGCUCUCACAUGUGUGAGUGGUGUGACGGUGGUGACACAGAAGCCUGUUGUAGCCGUGACGACAGGAGAGACAGUCUCCAUAGACUGUAACCUCGGGACUGAUUCUGACAGUGCUGCUCGCUGGUAUAAACAGAUUCCAGGAGGAGUUCCUCAGUUUGUAAUAUUUUUUUAUCACGGCGACAGCUCUCCAUUCUAUGGCACUGGUUUCUCAUCUCCAAAGUUCACAUCCACUCAUCAGUCAACUACAGAUUAUCGUUUGACCAUAAAGAACAUCGAGGAGGGAGACUCAGCCGUCUAUUACUGUAACACAUGGGACGACUCUGUUGAUCAGUCCGUAUCACAGUGAUUUACACUGUGACAAAAACCUCUUCACUGAGUACUUCUGCUUUUUGAGACGCUGACACAUUUUGAGUGAAACCAUCAGUCAAUUUCUGUAGCUUAUAUUUCUUAUAAACCCAUUUAUUCAUCAUACUAAAUAUAAAUCUUACUUAGUGGUAGUUAUUAAUAGUUUUCCAUGUAUACACUAUAGAAAUCAUUGUUUACAACAACAAGGACAAACAAAUGACAAUAACAUUGACUCUAAAACUAUGAGCACACUGAAUACUGAAAAAAUAAAUAUAUUGCAAAUAUUUAAUUAAAGUAAUUCCUUGACUACAUAUAAUAUUCAAA